CUGUGACUAGUGGUCCUGUUCUACUUUUUUCUUCUUCAUUUUCUGUCGACAUCUGAGCUGUCACACUCACCCCCUGCUUCUAGGGCACCUUCUCUCAUCUCCUAUUCUUAUCCCAAAGUAAUAUUUUUUUCCUCUGUGUCCUCUAAUAUGUGACUGGGGUCAACCUCGCAGCGUGAUCGCUUUCUGCCCUGCAUGACAGUCAUCUAGGCACUGGACCGGCCUCCCGCGCUGGACCGUAGCUCGUGGAGGGUGAGGCCUUGCCCAUUUGCACGUUCUUCAAGUGCAGACGCUGUGCCCGGGCCCCAUGCCCACGUGGAACAGGCUAAAUGCACUUCCAAAUUCAAAGUUGAUUAGACACGCUACAUGUUAACGCCUGAUUUAAUUGCGGAUGUGCAGACACGCAGAGGCAGCCAGCCUCCCCCCAGCUCUCCUUGGCAGAAUCCAGCCUGAGCACAGCUGUCAGGACAGCUGGCCUCCGUCCCACAGGGCCAAGCACAUGGCUUCCCACAGUGUCUGUUCCCAUCUCAGGGCCAGUGGGAUUCUGUCUUGAUCUCCAGGACUUUCCCUACAGAGGUCAGUUCUUUUCUGUUUUUCCCACCUUUCAUGGCUUUUCAGUGUUGCAUUUUACCUUGCCAGUGGUCACACCUUCCCACUUUGAUACAUAAGAAAUUUUCUUCUAUGUGAUUAAACUCCAUAUGUUGUUUGGCUUAUUAAGUCGUGUGUGCAUGCCAAGUCCCUUCAGUCAUGCCUGACUCUUUGCAACCCCCUGGACUGUAUCCUGCCAGGCUCCUCUGUCCAUGGGAUUCUCCAGGCAAGAAUGUUGGAGUGGAUUGCCAUUUCCUCCUCCAGGGGAUCUUCCCAACCCAGGGAUUGAGCCCGCCCACGUCUCUAUGUCUUCCUGCCUUGGCAGGCGGGUUCUUUACCACUACUGUGAAGUGGCACCAACUCCUGCCUGCCUAGGAGACAGCAGCUCACGUCCGUUUAACAAAUCCCAGGCACCACUGAAUUAAAAAAAAAGAUGAUUGGUCCCUUUUAUCUGGGGCUACACACGUGGGUGUUAGGAAGUCUUGAUGUGUGCAGCCCCUUAACACUGAUCUGAAGAAGG
ensembl:lncRNA